rnacentral:rRNA from 1 species
ACGGGAGGCAGCAGUGGGGAAUAUUGCACAAUGGGGGAAACCCUGAUGCAGCGACGCCGCGUGAGUGAAGAAGUUAUUCGUAAUGUAAAGCUCUAUCAGCAGGGAAGAAAAUGACGGUACCUGACUAAGAAGCCCCGGCUAACUACGUGCCAGCAGCCGCGGUAAUACGUAGGGGGCAAGCGUUAUCCGGAUUUACUGGGUGUAAAGGGAGCGUAGACGGAAUAGCAAGUUUGAGGUGAAAUACCUGUGCUUAACGCAGGAAUUGCUUUGAAAACUGUUAAUCUAGAGUACUGGAGGGGUAUGGGGAAUUCCUAGUGUAGUAGUGAAAUGCGUAGAUAUUAGGAGGAACACCGGAGGCGAAGGCGCCAUACUGGACAGAUACUGACGUUGAGGCUCGAAAGCGUGGGGAGCAAACAGGAUUAGAUACCCUGGUA